rnacentral:rRNA from 1 species
AGUGAACGCUGGCGGUAGGCCUAACACAUGCAAGUCGAACGGCAGCACAGUAAGAGCUUGCUCUUACGGGUGGCGAGUGGCGGACGGGUGAGGAAUACAUCGGAAUCUACUUUUUCGUGGGGGAUAACGUAGGGAAACUUACGCUAAUACCGCAUACGACCUACGGGUGAAAGCAGUGGAUCUUCGGACCUUGCGUGAUUGAAUGAGCCGAUGUCGGAUUAGCUAGUUGGCGGGGUAAAGGCCCACCAAGGCGACGAUCCGUAGCUGGUCUGAGAGGAUGAUCAGCCACACUGGAACUGAGACACGGUCCAGACUCCUACGGGAGGCAGCAGUGGGGAAUAUUGGACAAUGGGCGCAAGCCUGAUCCAGCCAUACCGCGUGGGUGAAGAAGGCCUUCGGGUUGUAAAGCCCUUUUGUUGGGAAAGAAAAGCAGCAGGUUAAUACCCCGCUGUUCUGACGGUACCCAAAGAAUAAGCACCGGCUAACUUCGUG